UGGGGAAUAUCGGACAAUGGGCGAAAGCCUGAUCCAGCCAUGCCGCGUGUGUGAAGAAGGUCUUCGGAUUGUAAAGCACUUUAAGUUGGGAGGCAAGGCAGUAAGCUAAUACCCUGCUGUUUUGACGUUACCGACAGAAUAAGCACCGGCUAACUCUGUG
rnacentral:rRNA from 1 species